GACGAGGGGUCCAAGCGUUGUUCGGAAUCAUUGGGCGUAAAGCGGGUGUAGGUGGCUCUAUAAGUCAGAAGUGAAAGCCCCGGGCUUAACCCGGGAAGUGCUUUUGAUACUGCAGAGCUUGAAUGUGGGAGAGGGUAGUGGAAUUCCAGGUGUAGUGGUGAAAUUCGUAGAUAUCGGGAGGAACACCAGUGGCGAAGGCGGCGACCUGGGCCGAUACUGACGCUGAGGAGCGAAAGCGUGGGGAGCGAAACAGG
rnacentral:rRNA from 1 species